rnacentral:rRNA from 1 species
UGCAACUCGCCUGCAUGAAGCCGGAAUCGCUAGUAAUCGCGGAUCAGCAUGCCGCGGUGAAUACGUUCCCGGGCCUUGUACACACCGCCCGUCACACCACGAGAGCUUGCAACACCCGAAGUCGGUGCGGUAACCCUUACGGGAGCCAGCCGCCGAAGGUGGGGCAAGUGAUUGGGGUGAAGUCGUAACAAGGUAGCCGUACCGGAAGGUGCGGCUGGAUCACCUCCUUUCUAAGGA